rnacentral:rRNA from 1 species
GACGAACGCUGGCGGCGUGCUUAACACAUGCAAGUCGAGCGGAGCGGCGAACGGGUGAGUAACGCGUGUGUAACUGCCCCCCUCUCUGGGAUAACAGUUGGACACGGCUGCUAAUCUCGGACAGUGGGGGCUGUCUCGCUUCCUAUCAGUUUGUUGGUGGGGUAGUGGCCUACCAAGGGGACGACGGGUCCCCGGCCUGGGAGGGCGCACGGCCACAUUGGGCUAAGAUACGGCCCAAACUCCUACGGGGGGCAGCGGUGGGGAAUAUUGCACAAGGGGGGAAACCCUACUGAAGCAACGCCGCGGGCGGGAUGACGGCCUUCGGGUUGUAAACCGCUUUCAGCCAUGACGCGGUAGUGGCAGAAGAAGCACCGGCUAACUACGUGCCAGCAGCCGCGGUAAUUC